UGGGGAAUAUUGGACAAUGGGCGCAAGCCUGAUCCAGCCAUGCCGCGUGAGUGACGAAGGCCUUAGGGUUGUAAAGCUCUUUUGGCGGGGACGAUAAUGACGGUACCCGCAGAAUAAGCCCCGGCUAACUUCGUGCCAGCAGCCGCGGUAAUACGAAGGGGGCUAGCGUUGUUCGGAAUUACUGGGCGUAAAGCGCACGUAGGCGGAUGUGCCAGUCAGGGGUGAAAUCCCGAGGCUCAACCUCGGAACUGCCUCCGAUACAGCACGUCUCGAGUCCGGAAGAGGUGAGUGGAAUUCCUAGUGUAGAGGUGAAAUUCGUAGAUAUUAGGAAGAACACCAGUGGCGAAGGCGGCUCACUGGUCCGGUACUGACGCUGAGGUGCGAAAGCGUGGGGAGCAAACAGGAUUAGAUACCCAGGUAGUCCCUGAGCGGGCUGGCAAGGCGCAU
rnacentral:rRNA from 1 species